AAGAGGAGGUGGGGGGAGUGUCCGCUGUCCGUUGAUCGGCAAAGUGCGAGCUUCGAGCUAUCCUAAUCGGCGCUUAUGAAUGGCGACGUACUCCCAAGGUCACUUGCCACAAGGGAGCGGGAGGGGGUGCAGGGCCCCCCUCGCCCCCCUUGCGCAUCCGUCCCGUUCGCGGGCGCGCGCCGAUGCAGUCUCUCGUUGUUCGCCGGUCCGCGCGCGUCGUCGCUAGACUCGCGGUAGCCCGAAAGUUCGGAAAGCUCUCGCGACUUGUGCUGUUUCGCCUCACGCGGCUUUCUUUUACCGGGGCGCUUUGGAAUGUCACGAGUGGAGGAAACAGUAGAAAGUCAGAGAAAAAGCUUGAGUCAAUUAGAAUUGUGGUCGAUCAGAAGAGCGACCUAUCGUUAUUUGAUGCAAAAAUGAUCGGCGUUCGAAAUCUGAGCGGAAUUCGAAAACUCCGUUUUUUCCUUCGCAACGCGCUCAUCUCCCGCUCUCGCAUGCAGUCUCUUUCGCGCUUCGUCAGGUCGUUCGUCAAAUUCACUUCGUGA
rnacentral:lncRNA from 1 species